AUUGAACGCUGGCGGCAUGCUUUACACGUGCAAGUCGAACGGCAGCGCGGGCUUCGGCCUGGCGGCGAGUGGCGAACGGGUGAGUAAUACAUCGGAACGUGCCCAGUAGUGGGGGAUAGCUCGGCGAAAGCCGGAUUAAUACCGCAUACGACCUGAGGGGGAAAGCGGGGGAUCUUCGGACCUCGCGCUAUUGGAGCGGCCGAUGGCAGAUUAGCUAGUUGGUGGGGUAAAGGCCUACCAAGGCGACGAUCUGUAGCUGGUCUGAGAGGACGACCAGCCACACUGGGACUGAGACACGGCCCAGACUCCUACGGGAGGCAGCAGUGGGGAAUUUUGGACAAUGGGCGAAAGCCUGAUCCAGCAAUGCCGCGUGUGUGAUGAAGGCCUUCGGGUUGUAAAGCACUUUUGGCGGGAACGAAAAGGACUGUGCCAAUACCACGGUUCGAUGACGGUACCCGCAGAAUAAGCACCGGCUAACUACGUG
rnacentral:rRNA from 1 species